AGAGUUUGAUCCUGGCUCAGAACGAACGCUGGCGGCGUGCUUAACACAUGCAAGUCGAGUGCGCGUUUCGUAGCAAUACGAGAUGGCGCACGGCGCACGGGUGCGUAACACGUGGGUAACCUGCCCUUUGGUGGGGAAUAACUCCGCGAAAGCGGAGCUAAUUCCGCAUAAGAUCCGCAAGGAUGAAAGCCGCAAGGCGCCGAUGGAGGGGCCCGCGCACGAUUAGCUAGUUGGUAGGGUAACGGCCUACCAAGGCUUUGAUCGUUAGCUGGUCUGAGAGGAUGGCCAGCCACACUGGAACUGAGACACGGUCCAGACUCCUACGGGAGGCAGCAGUGGGGAAUCUUGCACAAUGGGCGAAAGCCUGAUGCAGCGACGCCGCGUGGGGGAUGAAGCAUUUCGGUGUGUAAACCCCUUUCGAUCCGGACGAAUGCCCGCAAGGGAUUGACGGUACGGAUAUAAGAAGCCCCGGCUAACUACGUGCCAGCAGCCGCGGUAAGACGUAGGGGGCCAGCGUUGUUCGGAAUUACUGGGUGUAAAGGGUUCGUAGGCGGUGCGGCAAGUUGGGAGUGAAAUCUCUGGGCUCAACCCAGAGGCUGCUUCCAAAACUGCUGUGCUUGAGUGUGGGAGAGGCGCGUGGAAUUGCAGGUGUAGCGGUGAAAUGCGUAGAUAUCUGCAGGAACACCCGUGGCGAAAGCGGCGCGCUGGACCACUACUGACGCUGAGGAACGAAAGCUAGGGGAGCAAACAGGAUUAGAUACCCUGGUAGUCC
rnacentral:rRNA from 1 species